rnacentral:lncRNA from 1 species
AGCAAUGAAAAGAUGAAAGAUCAGUUACAGAGAAACAGGUGGUGCAAAUGUUACAUUUGUAUUUUUUUGGUUUCAUUCUUUUGUUGUACUAAUGCCUCAUUGCCUUUUUUUUUUCCUUCUAUGAUGUGUCUCUGGAACCAGCAAAAAUUCCCUCUUUGGACUUGCUCCACUUGAAGCAGUGCUAUUUAAUAUUGAUAGAACUCCAUAUGAUUUAG